rnacentral:rRNA from 1 species
UACGGGGGGGGCAAGCGUUGUUCGGAAUUACUGGGCGUAAAGGGCUCGUAGGCGGCCAGCUAAGUCGGAUGUGAAAUCCCCAGGCUUAACCUGGGAACUGCAUCCGAUACUGGACGGCUUGAAUCCGGGAGAGGGAUGCAGAAUUCCAGGUGUAGCGGUGAAAUGCGUAGAUAUCUGGAGGAAUACCGGUGGCGAAGGCGGCAUCCUGGACCGGCAUUGACGCUGAUGAGCGAAAGCUAGGGGAGCAAACGGG